rnacentral:lncRNA from 1 species
AUUGUGUGUGUGUGUGUGUGUGUGUGUGUGUGUGUGUGUGUGUGUGUAUCUAGAUUCUGUCCCCUUUACAUUGUCUCCAAGGUAGGGUAACAUUUGCCCAUUAGCUUGGAGUUCCAUAUCCAUCAAACUAAGGGGAACUUCUCAUAAGGAGGGACAAUCUGCAGCCCCUAUCUCCAUUUUUCAGAGGCACUCCUGUCUGGAUCUUCUGAAGUCAGCACCUUGGCCAAGACCAGAGCUGAUGAGGGUAAUGGGUGGGAAACAGUUACCACAGGGCCCUGCGCAGGCAGGAUAAACUCACUGGCUCCUUUUCCUGGUAGGCAGGUCAGAUGUGUCAGAGAGUAGCUGUGAAUGCAGCCCGACAUACAAAGCCACAAACUUAUUCCAGAACACUGGGAGACUUUUCUGUCUGUUUGUUGUGGUUGUUGGUAACUUGAAUGGGCAGUUCUACAGCAUGAACUUUGUAUGUGACAGUGUCAUGUCACAGUGUUAGAGGUUGGACACUCCUGCUAAGGUCCUUCACUUCACCUGCCACCACCGUGACCUUUGCUUACAGGGUCUGCUGCUCAGGGCCAGCGUGCUGGUGCUCCUGGCACUUGAGGUCCCUGGCUUAAUGACUUCUCACUGAAAUGUCAGGAGCUUUAGGAGCAGGAGCAUCUCCUAGCCAGGCUGGGAGCCCUGCUUUAGAGAGGAGCCAUGCAUCCCAGUAUGCCAGCUACAGGAUCCACUUGUAAGUACAGCAGCUUAUGAACAAAGGCAAAGUGAGUUUUUAUAUGGAGGAGCCAGGCUGGGGAAAGGGAGCGCACUGGGGACAUCAGGAGUUAGAACCAAGAUGUGUCUUCCCUAGGAGUUGAAGAGCGAAGGGCUCCAGCAAGGGCCUGAGGCUGGGUGCUGGGUGCUGUGUGAUUUGGGGGCCUGACUCCUAUGUGCAGACCUUCUUCAAGGCAGUAAAUACCUCUGCCAUGUAAUUCACUCACGAUGGCUACCCUCCAUGGGCUCAUAAAAUAUUUUACUAUUCCUAAAAGCCUACCUUGUAAAAGGCAAAUGCUCCCCAUAAAGUGCUCAUGCCUGGAGUUCAUUACCAGCCGACACCCUAAUUAUGAUCACUUUAGAAGGAAUUAGGUGGCACCCAGAAAUCUGAUCUUAAUAGUUUACAUGUGUGCAUGUGUGCACAUGUAUUUGAGUUGAGGGCACGAGCUCCUUUUUUCUUCUUUAAUUCACUCAACAAAUAUUGAUCAAACACUACUAGAAUGCCAAAUGGUAGCCAUGGUUCUGCUGGAACGAAGCCGGAACAAAGACCCUAAACACCUCUGCCCCCGUGGAGCUUACAUGAGGAAGAAGGACAAGAAACAAGCAUAACUAGAGGCAGAACUGGAUAUGGCGAAGGAGCAGCUCUGGGCAAGUGAGAUGGGAUGCUGUCAUUUGCAUCCCUUGCUCAGUGCUGUGGUGUAAAUAUUUCCACUGUGGUCUGAUUCCCUCCAUGGCCAACAUUAAGCCCUCAACCGAACAUCAAUCGGCUGCAAACUCUACAAUGGAUUCUCAGGUUCGUCUGGCUCCAGCACAUCACUAUAAUGGCACCCCCUUCCUUCCCAACUCUUCCUGAAGCCCCUCUCCCUCCCCCUCCUGCUCAUCCACUCCCCACCUUUGAUUAAACUAGGUGCACACAGAUGGUUAUGAUUUGAAAGUUCUCGUCUUAGGGUGUUUACUUCCUCUACUCGAAAAGGAAUAAUAAUAAAAAAUUCAUGGAGUUCUGCCCACUAUAAACAUUUCCUAGAAGGGGCUUUGAUGAUUUAGUUCAAGUCUUGGUUUUACAGGUAUGGAAAGCUUGCCUGGAGUGUCAAGGGACUUGCUCAGAAACACAGUAACUCACCACACCAGAAGCCUGACUCCUUGUCCCUUGCUUGCUUUUUCUAACAUAUCCUGAUGUCGUGUGUGUGUGUGUGUGUGUGUGUGUGUGUGUGUGUGCUGAUCCAAAAAAAGUACAAUGAAAAUAUAAACUAUUAGCUCAGGGGAAGGGG